GCAGCGCCGAGGAACCCAUCUCUGUACAACCAGCGGUGCGUCGCCCUCUUCUCCCCCAAAAGCCUGCCGCUACCGGUAUGGAUGACCGCCGCUCGGGAUACUCAGCCUCCAUGCGCCACUCGGGAUAUUCGGCAGCUACUCCGAGUCAGAGGAUGAGGAGGAGAGCAUGCCCUCGUGGGGGUGGACUGAGGAUUGCGGAAACUGCAACUUCUCCGACCACACAACCUAGGAGGACGGGGUGUGCUCCAGCGACUUCAGGAUGUUGCAGGGCGACGGACUUGUAUGGCAGCGGUGUUCACGACGAGGUAUAAUCGCAGUUGAGCCGAAGAGGUGGUGGGCUGGUCCGUGGGCACUCCAAGGAGAAGCUCCGGGUGGAGGUGCGAGCCGUGGCCGCGUUUGCCAAGAAAUGCUCUCGUGCCGAAGAAUCCGAGAUCCUUCCGUGGACUACAGCUUGCAUGAUUCCGGGCGACCCAGCUCUCCCCCAACCACACAAGAUGGGGAGGAGCAUCGCAAUUUCAACAUAAUUGCAGACCCGAAAGGAGGCUUCGAGAGGAUUUGGUUAUCAUCAGUGGAAGAUAUACUGGCUCGAGAUGAUCAUGAGCUUCAUCCGAGGUAAACACGGUCGUGCCUAGCUGGGUCAUGUCUGACACUACCGUGAAAUUUGGUGAUGACAUCGGGAGAAAGGCGCUCGAGACAGUACCAUUAAGAUGUUUCAACAAGCCAGAAGAGAUUGAUGGUCUGGCCGAGUUCCUGGACAUUCAUCCGGCUGGAAGAUACGUGACCAGAUUGCGGCUGUAACCAAAGUGUGCUCCCCUUCCUAUGUAAGUAUGUAACACAACCGCAACUGUACUGUUGGCUGGGCACCUGUAACACACUGCUCAGAUAGUCUGAUGCCAGUAUCACCAUUCUCGGGAACGGCACUGCCAAGGCCAAUAUGAAGGCCCGAGCAUGGGGUUGGGGCAGCUCCGAUUCUGAGCGCAUGGUUGAGAAGUUCCCUAGAUCGUCUGGACCUCGGGCGGUAGCGGUAGCUGGACAUUAAGGACUUUUUUGCUAAUCUUUACUAUUCUCUUAAUUAAUAGGUGGAUUGGCUUUUCAAGGUAUUUUUCGUUUGGUCACCUCUCUCUCAACUUGAGAUGAUCGAUUGUUGGUUUUUGUAGGCAUAAUAGUUCUGAAUAUCUGUUGAAGGCUAUAUAACAUGAGUUCUGAAUACCUGGAGGAUCACCGUCCUUUCAGCAGGUAUACUGAACUGAGGUUCAUACAUGGCAUGUUUAGGUAUCAUGUUUAAGUUAAUUUUACUGGUUCAGACUGAAGCCUACUGAUCAUGAGGAUAUUGGCUUCCUUCAGUUAUUUUUACUUCUGAAUUUGGUAUAGGAGUCACAUAUUACUUGGAAACAGCCUAAGAGCCAAAAGUCUUUUGUAUUUAUAACUACAUAAAGUAUUGUCAAGAACAAAUCUGAGAAUUAUAUUGGGUUAGUGGACAGCGUAAAUUGAAAUUCUAGGUACAUAUAAUCUCUUUUUAAUUAUGAAUUUAUCACAAUUUCUAUUUCUUCUUGGCCAUGAGCAUGAAGAAAGAAGCUAGGAGGUUAACAGUACAUUUGUUUAAUCAAAUGUAUGAUCCAGUGGCCUCGCGUAAGCAGAUAUCAUGGUUGUUUACUUUAGAAUUCCAGAAUCCACAUGUUAGUAAGUAUGGAGUAGCAAUUUUCGUAACUUGUUACAUAAGUGACUCUGAAAUGAAAAGCAUUCUUUUCUUGGAUUUUGCUAUUAAAUAUUGGUUCUUACUAAGACAUAAAUUAAUGUUUGCAUGGAUCUAAAUUUAUUUUAGUUGGUUAAAUCAUUUAACAUGCAAUAUAGUCAUUUCAUCUUCAGAAUAUGCCCGAAUUCAAGCAUAAAUGUAGUACUACUAUGGUAGCAUUUUAUCUAUUUGCUCUAAUGGUACAACCAGGUUUAUUGACAUGUGCAUUUCCAGCAUUUACAUGUGCAUUUCCAGCAUUUGUCUAUGUUUUUGUGAAAGUAGUUUUAAUUGGAUGCUGGCGAGUUCUUUUGCAGCUUAAGUAUUGAACUGUGAUACUUCUGUGUUUAUGCACAAGCCAAAGAUAAAAGUUCUAAUUGACACGAGCAUCUGUUGUAGCUUCUGGAUACAUCAAUUUCAGCUGCAGAGGACUAUGAUUAUCUUCUAGCCAGAUGAGUAAAUUAGAUGUGCCAAAAUUUAGGAGAUUGAAUACUCUGUUGGCUAGCAGCCUUUGUCUUUGCAAUGUAGAUAUGUAAUGAGUUGGAGAGUGUAGACUUAGUUAAUAAAUAAAAGAUUCAUGACUUCUCAGUCCUACCUGCUUGAGGGGAUUGUCACAGUAAAAAGGGGGUGUAAUAAGCGAUACAUUCUUGAUUGAUUAGUUAAAAUGGUAAACUGAUGGUAGGAGAAACGAUGCAAUCUU